rnacentral:rRNA from 1 species
GACGAACGCUGGCGGCGUGCCUAAUACAUGCAAGUAGAACGCUGAAGGAGGAGCUUGCUUCUCUGGAUGAGUUGCGAACGGGUGAGUAACGCGUAGGUAACCUGCCUGGUAGUGGGGGAUAACUAUUGGAAACGAUAGCUAAUACCGCAUAAUAGCAGUUGUUGCAUGAUAACUGUUUGAAAGGUGCAAUUGCACCGCUACCAGAUGGACCUGCGUUGUAUUAGCUAGUUGGUGGGGUCACGGCUCACCAAGGCGACGAUACAUAGCCGACCUGAGAGGGGGAGCGGCCACCCUGGGACUGGGACACGGCCCAGACUCCUACGGGAGGCAGCAGUAGGGAAUCUUCGGCAAUGGACGGAAGUCUGACCGAGCAACGCCGCGUGAGUGAAGAAGGUUUUCGGAUCGUGAAGCGCUGUUGUAAGAGAAGAACGAGUGUGAGAGUGGAAAGUUCACACUGUGACGGUAUCUUACCAGAAAGGGACGGCUAACUACGUG